ensembl:lncRNA LINC01036 long intergenic non-protein coding RNA 1036
AGAUUUGGCUUUAUGUUUUUGAAUGGGGAUGCUAAAGGAGAUUGGUGAAAGAAAUCGGUUAUCUCCUUUUUACAUUAGGUAGAGAUUUUUUUUUUGUUCCCAUCAAUGCCUCCAAUUUUUUUUCCCUCAUUGCCUUUUGACUCCUAGCCUCAAUAUAAUUCUCUGGAAAACUACCGUUUACUUAUGCCAAGAAGGAAGAUUAAAAGAAUGUCACUCUGUCCCCCAGGCUGGAGUGCAGUGGUGCCAUCUUGGCUCACUGCAAGCUCCGCCUCCCGGGUUCCCGCCAUUCUCCUGCCUCAGCCUCCUGAGUAGCCGGACUACAGGCGCCGGCCACCCCACCGCGCUAAUUUUUUUGUAUUUUUUAGUAGAGACGGGGUUUUGUGUCCGGAAUUGGUGGGUUCUUGGUCUCACUGACUUCAAGAAUGAAGCCGCGGACCCUCGCAGUGAGUGCUACAGCUUUUAAGGUGGCGCCUUUGGAGUUUGUUCCUUCUGAUGUUCGGAUGUGUUCGGAGUUUCUUCCUUCUGGUGGGUUCGUGAUCUCGCUGGCUCAGGAGUGAAGCUGCAGACCUUCACGGGGAGUGUUACAGCUCUUAAGGUGGCACAUCUGGAGUUUGUUCCUUCUGACGUUCAGAUGUGUUCGGAGUUUCUUCCUUCUGGUGGGUUCGUGAUCUCGCUGGCUCAGGAGUGAAGCUGCAGACCUUCAGGGGGAGUGUUACAGCUCUUAAGGUGGCGCGUCUGGAGUUUCUUCCUUCUGGUGGGUUCGUGAUCUCGCUGGCUCAGGAGUGAAGCUGCAGACCUUCACGGGUCAGAUGAAAGUGAGAUCCAUACAUCCUUCUUCAGCAACUUGUGCCUCUGCUCUGCACCUCCCGCAAUUAACUACUGAAAAAAGAACACAGCUUCACAAAAGAGAUUGUAAAAUCAGGAAGUAUAUCUAAGUCACCUCCAGUAGCCGUAACUCUACCUUGUCCAGUAAAAGGAUAAUUCUGGCAGCUAUUGAAAACAGACUGAAGAGAAGAAAGAAGAUUUGGAGGAAUAUGUAUCCAAGAUUGAUGAUGGUGGCUCAGAUCAGUGCUGCUUGUUGCUGACGUUUCUGCCCAAACAUCAUGAAAUGUGGAGAAGAAAGAACACUCAGAUGUGCCCUGGAGACUUUCCUUUUAUUUUUAAACAGAAACCCUGGAGUUCUGGUAUCCAACCUAAAUCACAGAUGACCUUGAGGAUAGUGAAGCAGAAAGUUCUGGACCUGUGCCAGCCACAUAGAAACUGCUUAAUAAUUAUUUGUUGAAGAAUGUUCUAAAUGAAUAAUCCGCAGCAAAGCCCUGAGAAAAGCAGAGCCCCUGGAAAACUCACAUAUGUGUCAACAAUAGUCCUUGAUGCCCCUGUAACAAAACUUGAGCAAGGCCUGGUGAUGAAGAGAUACAAGAUUGUCACCCAAGGAUUUGAUUAUACCUCUGUUGAAAGUUAAUGCACACUCAACCGAAUAUGGCAAUUGGUACUCUCAAUUCUAUAUUCUCAACAAUUACAGUGAAGAUACAAGUAGAAUACAAUCACUGCCACAUUUUUUGAAAUUCUGUGUAAACUGUAAUAUUCUGUCAACAUUAAUGACAUUUGAAGUGUCCUGUCAAAACAAUUGCAGCUACUUUAUGUAUAAAACAUAUUAAAUAGGCUCAUCCAACUUGCAUUCUUUAUUAAGCUUAUUUUCAUAUUUUUUCCUAUGGAUGAACUUAAAAAUAAUUUUGUUUCUUAAUUAAGAUUC